AGAGUUUGAUCAUGGCUCAGGAUGAACGCUGGCGGCGUGCCUAACACAUGCAAGUCGAGCGAUCUUCUUCGGAAGAGAGCGGCGGACGGGUGAGUAACGCGUGGGUAACCUGCCUCAUACACAUGGAUAACAUACCGAAAGGUAUGCUAAUACAAGAUGAUAUAAGGGAUUCGCAUGGAUUUCUUAUCAAAGCUCCGGCGGUAUGAGAUGGACCCGCGUCUGAUUAGCUAGUUGGUAAGGUAACGGCUUACCAAGGCGACGAUCAGUAGCCGACCUGAGAGGGUGAUCGGCCACAUUGGAACUGAGACACGGUCCAAACUCCUACGGGAGGCAGCAGUGGGGAAUAUUGCACAAUGGGCGAAAGCCUGAUGCAGCAACGCCGUGUGAGCGAUGAAGGCCUUCGGGUCGUAAAGCUCUGUCCUCAAGGAAGAUAAUGACGGUACUUGAGGAGGAAGCCCCGGCUAACUACGUG
rnacentral:rRNA from 1 species